rnacentral:rRNA from 1 species
GACGAACGCUGGCGGCGUGCUUAACACAUGCAAGUCGAACGGUGACGAGGAGCUUGCUCCUCUGAUCAGUGGCGAACGGGUGAGUAACACGUGAGCAACCUGCCCCAGACUCUGGGAUAACAGUUGGAAACAGCUGCUAAUACCGGAUACGAGACGGAGAGGCAUCUCUACCGUCUGGAAAGUUUUUCGGUCUGGGAUGGACUCGCGGCCUAUCAGCUAGUUGGUGAGGUAAUGGCUCACCAAGGCGACGACGGGUAGCCGGCCUGAGAGGGCGACCGGCCACACUGGGACUGAGACACGGCCCAGACUCCUACGGGAGGCAGCAGUGGGGAAUAUUGCACAAUGGGCGAAAGCCUGAUGCAGCGACGCCGCGUGAGGGAUGACGGCCUUCGGGUUGUAAACCUCUUUCAGCAGGGAAGAAGCGAAAGUGACGGUACCUGCAGAAGAAGCACCGGCUAAUUACGUG